rnacentral:rRNA from 1 species
GACGAACGCUGGCGGCGUGCUUAACACAUGCAAGUCGAACGGAGUGGCGAACGGGUGAGUAACACGUGGGUGACCUGCCCUGCACUUCGGGAUGAGCCUGGGAAACUGGGUCUAAUACUGGAUAGUGUGGUAUGGGCCCGCGGCCUAUCGGCUUGUUGGUGGGGUAAUGGCCUACCAAGGCGGCGACGGGUAGCCGGCCUGAGAGGGUGGACGGCCACAUUGUUACUGAGUCACGGCCCAGACUCCUACGGGCGGCAGCGGUGGGGAAUAUUGCGCAAUAGGCGGAAGCCUGUGGCAGCGACGCCGGGUGGGGGAAGUCGGCCUUCGGGUUGUAAACUCCUUUCACCAUCGACGCGUUCGCUGGAGAAGAAGCACCUGCUAACUACGUGCCAGCAGCCGCGGUAAUUC